CUUAAACUUGGGAUUAUCUCUUUAAUCCCAAAGGUUCUUGGGGCAUCAUAUAUUCGCCAAUUCCGACCGAUCACAGUCCUCAACGUGAUCUUUAGGAUUCUGGCCAAAGGGUACACCACUAUGGUGGCCUUACUGGCUCCUCGGAUCCUUCAUCCUAACCAGACGACCUUCACCAAAGGACGAUAUAUCUUGGAUGGGAUCCUCCUUCACGAGGUCCUCCAUGAGGUCAAAAGGUAGCACCUAUGUGCGGUAUUCUUCAAGAUUGACUUUCAUAAAGCAUAUGAUACGGUCCACUAUUCCUUCCUUCGGGAGGUGAUGACAAAACGAGGAUUUGACCACCAUUGGAUUGCACGUGUAAUGCACCUGGUCUCAAGAGGACGCACGGCGAUCAAUAUCAAUGGGGAGAUGGGCCCAUACUUCCACACGGCCCAGGGGGUGCGGCAGGGGGAAUCCCUUCCCCCUUCCUAUUUAACCUUAUGGUAG
rnacentral:rRNA from 1 species